rnacentral:rRNA from 1 species
UAACCUUCGGAAGGAUCAUUG